GUGCUUGCUUCAGCAGCACAUAUACUAAAAUUAGAACAAUACAGAGUAGAUUAGCAUGGCCCCUGCACAGAGAUGACAUGCAAAUUAAUGAAGUGUGCCAUAUUUCU